CAUGCUCCCUGCGAACGCCCUUCAGGCCUCAUGGCUUGGUUUUCUCAGAGCUCAGGAAACACAGGAAUAGAGAAAAAGGCCCAUCUCUGCAGGACCAGCUUCCCCGGGUCCCAUGCUAAAGGUUGUAAAACAGCAGUUGCUGAAGGUAAAAGACGAAAAAAGAUUCUACACACACACAUACCGACAAAGCUUGCCGAAAACAAAGGACAGUGAAAAAAGGAAGAGCUCUCCUGGUCUCGAAGAAGAGUUUGACACUUGCUCAGCACCGCACAGAGGUUUUAUUCCCGCUUCCCAACCUGUAGCUCGGACUGCCGCGGCGCGGG